CGGACGGGUGAGUAAUGUCUGGGAAACUGCCCGAUGGAGGGGGAUAACUACUGGAAACGGUAGCUAAUACCGCAUAACGUCGUAAGACCAAAGAGGGGGACCUUAGGGCCUCUUGCCAUCGGAUGUGCCCAGAUGGGAUUAGCUAGUAGGUGGGGUAAUGGCUCACCUAGGCGACGAUCCCUAGCUGGUCUGAGAGGAUGACCAGCCACACUGGAACUGAGACACGGUCCAG
rnacentral:rRNA from 1 species